rnacentral:rRNA from 1 species
UACAGGGGGGGCGAGCGUUGUUCGGAAUUACUGGGCGUAAAGGGCGCGUAGGCGGCCAACUAAGUCAGACGUGAAAUCCCUCAGCUUAACUGGGGAACUGCGUCUGAUACUGGAUGGCUUGAGUUUGGGAGAGGGAUGCGGAAUUCCAGGUGUAGCGGUGAAAUGCGUAGAUAUCUGGAGGAACACCGGUGGCGAAGGCGGCAUCCUGGGACCAACACUGACACUGAGGAGCGAAAGCCAGGGGAGCAAACGGGG